rnacentral:lncRNA from 1 species
AAAUCACAAAUUUCCCCACCCAUUCCCAAGGAAGUGAAAGGCAUCGGAAGUAGCAGAAGAAACGAGCUGUGUGCCAACCACAAUGCAAACGUGGUGAAUGUGUCGGAUCCAGCAAGCAGCAUCCUGGGUGUGCUGGAAAAACCUGCAGUGCAGGAAGCCCCCUUUGAGGAUAAAAGAAUUCAUCUAAGAGUCAGACCCCUUCCUGGCUGGUGUGUCCGUGUCUGUCAGAUGACAAGCCGUGGGGAGUCAAUAGCACCCUCACCCCACUCCAUCUGUGAUCCCGGAGAACAAGAGAAGAGGGAAGCAGAUCCCGCUCCUGUGAUUUCAAUUACAGGGAGGUGAAAAAUUAUUUGAUAUCCGAGCUUGCUAAAGGCGCCCAUUCCUUCUGCUCCAAAGAUCUUUCCCGCGAAACUGAACAAAAGAGGAGAAAGAAGUUUCGAUGCAUAUUGAGGGGAAGGGGAGUGGGGAGAAAGCCAGCACAGCAGGCAGAGAGUUGAUGACAAUGCAGACAAAAGAAAGAACUUCUUAAGAUUCUUUCUAAGAAAUGGAAUUCGCCCGGCACUGGUUCUUUUAUUAGAACCUUUCUCGCCCUCUCCCUUGCUCUGUAUCUCCCAC